rnacentral:rRNA from 1 species
CAAUAGCGUAUAUUAAAGUUGUUGCGGUUAAAAAGCUCGUAGUUGGAUUUCUGCUGAGAACGACCGGUCCGCCCUUUGGGUGUGUAUCUGGCUCUUUCUUGGCAUCUUCUUGGUGAACGUUGCUGCACUUGACUGUGUGGAGCGCUACCCAGGACUUUUACUUUGAGGAAAUUAGAGUGUUUCAAGCAGGCAUACGCCUUGAAUACAUUAGCAUGGAAUAAUAAGAUAGGACCUCGGUUCUAUUUUGUUGGUUUCUAGAGCUGAGGUAAUGAUUAAUAGGGAUAGUUGGGGGCAUUCGUAUUUAACUGUCAGAGGUGAAAUUCUUGGAUUUGUUAAAGACGAACUACUGCGAAAGCAUUUGCCAAGGAUGUUUUCAUUA